UGUCAAGGGAUUGGAAUCGAACCCACGACCUUCCGCUUACCGGGCAGAUCCCAUGACCACUAGGCUACCCUGGAC
rnacentral:tRNA from 1 species